GCCAGACGCAGUGGCACAUGCCUAUACUCCUAGCUGAUAGGGAUGCUGAGGCAGGAGGAUGGGUUGAGUCCAGGAGUUCUGGGCUGAGGUGUGCUAUGCCUAUCGGGUAAGUUCGGCAACAAUAUGAUGACCUCCAGAGAGCAGGGGAUCACCAGGUUGCCUAAGGAGGGGUGAACAGGCCCAGGUUGGAAAUGGAGCAGGUCAAACUCCUGUGAUGAUCAGUAGUGGGAUUGUGCUUGUGAAUAGUCACUGCACUUUAGCCUGGGCAGCACAGUGAGACCCUGUCUCU
rnacentral:SRP_RNA from 1 species